rnacentral:tRNA from 1 species
CCUAAUAUGGCAGAAAAUAUAUGCAAUGAAUUUAAGAUUCAUAGAUAGAGAUUAAGAUCACUUAUUAGAA